AGAGUUUGAUUCUGGCUCAGAACGAACGCUGGCGGCAGGCCUGAGGCAUGCAAGUCGAACGAGAAAGCAUUUUCGGAUGCGAGUAGAGUGGCGCACGGGUGAGUAACGCGUGGGAAUAUACCUUACAGUGGGGGAUAACAGUUAGAAAUGACUGCUAAUACCGCAUAAGCCCUUCGGGGGAAAGAUUUAUCGCUGUAAGAUUAGCCCGCGUCAGAUUAGCUUGUUGGUGAGGUAAAAGCUCACCAAGGCAAUGAUCUGUAGCUGGUUUGAGAGGAUGAUCAGCCACACUGGAACUGAGACACGGUCCAGACUCCUACGGGAGGCAGCAGCUAGGAAUAUUGGACAAUGGGGGAAACCCUGAUCCAGCCAUGUCGCGUGAGUGAAGAAGGCCUUUGGGUUGUAAAGCUCUUUCAAUAGUGAAGAUGAUGACUGUAACUAUAGAAGAAGCCCCGGCUAACUUCGUGCCAGCAGCCGCGGUGAUACGAAGGGGGCUAGCGUUGUUCGGAUUUACUGGGCGUAAAGCGCAUGUAGGCUGUUUAUUAAGUUAGAGGUGAAAUCCCAGGGCUCAACCCUGGAACUGCCUUUGAUACUGGUAAACUAGAGUAUGAUAGAGGAUAGUGGAAUUCUAAGUGUAGAGGUGGAAUUCGUAGAUAUUUAGAGGAACACCAGUGGCGAAAGCGGCUAUCUGGAUCAUUACUGACGCUGAGAUGCGAAAGUGUGGGGAGCAAACAGGAUUAGAUAUCCUGGUAGUCCACACUGUAAACGAUGAGUGUUAAUUGUUGGGAACUUUGGUUCUCAGUGAUACAGCUAACGCGUUAAACACUCCGCCUGGGGAGUACGGUCGCAAGAUUAAAACUUAAAGAAAUUGACGGGGACCCGCACAAGCGGUGGAGCAUGUUGUUUAAUUCGAAGAUACGCGAAGAACCUUACCGAUCCUUGACUUCCUAAUCGCAAAAUUUGUAAUAAAUUUUUUCAGCUCGGCUGGAUUAGUGACAGAUGCUGCAUGGUUGUCGUCAGCUCGUGUCGUGAGAUGCUGGGUUAAGUCCCGCAACGAGCGCAACCCUCGCCAUUAGUUGCCAUCAGGUAAUGCUGGGAACUCUAAUGGAACUGCCGGUGAUAAGCCGGAGGAAGGUGGGGAUGACGUCAAAUCAUCAUGGUUCUUAUGGAUCGGGCUACAAACGUGCUACAAUGGCAAUUACAAUGAGCAGCAAUCUCGCAAGGGUGAGCUAAUCUCAAAAAAUUGUCUCAGUUCAGAUUGUCCUCUGCAACUCGAGGGCAUGAAGUUGGAAUCGCUAGUAAUCGCAGGUCAGCAUACUGCGGUGAAUACGUUCCCGGGUCUUGUACACACCGCCUGUCAUGUCAUGGGAGUUGGUUUUACCUGAAGGCGUUACCUUAACUUUUGAGGGGGACGACCACGGUAGGACUAAUGACUGGGAUAAAGUCAUAACAAGGUA
rnacentral:rRNA from 1 species